rnacentral:rRNA from 1 species
CAGUGUCCUGAAGUGGGGGAUAACGCAUCGAAAGAUGUGCUAAUACCGCAUAUUCUCUGAGGAGGAAAGUAGGGGAUCGAAAGACCUUAUGCUUUUGGAGCGGCCGAUGUCUGAUUAGCUAGUUGGUAGGGUAAUGGCUUACCAAGGCGACGAUCAGUAGUUGGUCUGAGAGGACGACCAGCCACACUGGGACUGAGACACGGCCCAGACUCCUACGGGAGGCAGCAGUGGGGAAUUUUGGACAAUGGGCGCAAGCCUGAUCCAGCAAUGCCGCGUGAGUGAAGAAGGCCUUCGGGUUGUAAAGCUCUUUCAGUUGAGAAGAAAAGUCGUGACUAAUAAUCAUGAUUCAUGACGGUAUCAACAGAAGAAGCACCGGCUAACUACGUG